UCAGGACGAACGCUGGCGGCGUGCCUAAUACAUGCAAGUCGAACGCACUCUCGUUAGAUUGAAGAAGCUUGCUUCUGAUUGAUAACAUUUGAGUGAGUGGCGGACGGGUGAGUAACACGUGGGUAACCUGCCCUAAAGUGGGGGAUAACAUUUGGAAACAGAUGCUAAUACCGCAUAAAACCUAGCACCGCAUGGUGCAAGGUUGAAAGAUGGUUUCGGCUAUCACUUUAGGAUGGACCCGCGGUGCAUUAGUUAGUUGGUGAGGUAAAGGCUCACCAAGACCGUGAUGCAUAGCCGACCUGAGAGGGUAAUCGGCCACACUGGGACUGAGACACGGCCCAGACUCCUACGGGAGGCAGCAGUAGGGAAUCUUCCACAAUGGACGAAAGUCUGAUGGAGCAACGCCGCGUGAGUGAAGAAGGUUUUCGGAUCGUAAAACUCUGUUGUUGGAGAAGAACGUAUUUGAUAGUAACUGAUCAGGUAGUGACGGUAUCCAACCAGAAAGCCACGGCUAACUACGUGCCAGCAGCCGCGGUAAUACGUAGUGGCAAGCGUUGUCCGGAUUUAUUGGGCGUAAAGCGAGCGCAGGCGGUUUCUUAAGUCUGAUGUGAAAGCCUUCGGCUCAACCGAAGAAGUGCAUCGGAAACUGGGAAACUUGAGUGCAGAAGAGGACAGUGGAACUCCAUGUGUAGCGGUGAAAUGCGUAGAUAUAUGGAAGAACACCAGUGGCGAAGGCGGCUGUCUGGUCUGUAACUGACGCUGAGGCUCGAAAGCAUGGGUAGCAAACAGGAUUAGAUACCCUGGUAGUCCAUGCCGUAAACGAUGAGUGCUAGGUGUUGGAGGGUUUCCGCCCUUCAGUGCCGCAGCUAACGCAUUAAGCACUCCGCCUGGGGAGUACGACCGCAAGGUUGAAACUCAAAGGAAUUGACGGGGGCCCGCACAAGCGGUGGAGCAUGUGGUUUAAUUCGAAGCAACGCGAAGAACCUUACCAGGUCUUGACAUCCUUUGACCACUCUAGAGAUAGAGCUUUCCCUUCGGGGACAAAGUGACAGGUGGUGCAUGGUUGUCGUCAGCUCGUGUCGUGAGAUGUUGGGUUAAGUCCCGCAACGAGCGCAACCCUUAUUACUAGUUGCCAGCAUUUAGUUGGGCACUCUAGUGAGACUGCCGGUGACAAACCGGAGGAAGGUGGGGACGACGUCAAAUCAUCAUGCCCCUUAUGACCUGGGCUACACACGUGCUACAAUGGAUGGUACAACGAGUCGCGAGACCGCGAGGUUUAGCUAAUCUCUUAAAACCAUUCUCAGUUCGGAUUGUAGGCUGCAACUCGCCUACAUGAAGCCGGAAUCGCUAGUAAUCGCGGAUCAGCAUGCCG
rnacentral:rRNA from 2 species